AUGGCUGUCAAUCAAUUGAAUGAUGUCCGGGAGCAGUUUGUCAGCCUGGUGACAGAGGCUAAUAUCAAGGCUCUACUAGACAGACUUCAGCAUCCACAUGAAGGCAGAAGAUUUAUCAACAAGUUGGAGGCAGAAGAGGUGAUACAAAAAAACCCUGAGAGGGCCGACAAGGCACGUUCUCUUAUUGAUAUGGUGAUUAGUAAAGGUGAUGCUGCUUGCAAGAUGAUGUUAACCACAUGGCAUAAUCUAGACCCCUCCAGCCAGAUAUUGAACACACCGGCACAUGUCCUCACAAGCCAAAGGGCACUAGGAUCCUCCUCAAGGAUGCCUCCAUGUCAAGGUUCUCCUCCAGCAUCGUCUCGUGUCAUGGGUGCUGAAAGAAUGGCAAAUGAAAUAAAAACUACAGUGAUUAAUUAUAACUACACUAUGCCUAUUCACCAAGCCCACCCAAACCUGAAGAGGAAGGCUGAAAGCAUUGGAAUUGGGACUGUUGGAAGCACUGUAAAUAACGCCAAGAGGCCCAAAAUUGAGGACCACCUUGAGAAAAACAUGAAGACCGCACCCAAGGCACCUGUACCCAAGAAGCCUGCUGCAGCUAAGGAGCCUAAAGUCAAGAAUCCUACUGCAGCUAAGGAGCCUAAAGUCAAGAAGCCUGCUGCAGCUAAGGAGCCUAAAGUCAAGAAUCCUACUGCAGCUAAGGAGCCUAAAGUCAAGAAUCCUACUGCAGCUAAGGAGCCUAAAGUCAAGAAUCCUACUGCAGCUAAGGAGCCUAAAGUCAAGAAGCCUACUGCAGCUAAGGAGCCUAAAGUCAAGAAGCCUGCUGCAGCUAAGGAGCCUAAAGUCAAGAAGCCUGCUGCAGCUAAGGAGCCUAAAGUCAAGAAGCCUGCUGCAGCUAAGGAGCCUAAAGUCAAGAAGCCUGCUGCAGCUAAGGAGCCUAAAGUCAAGAAGCCUGCUGCAGCUAAGGAGCCUAAAGUCAAGAAGCCUGCUGCAAAAAAAAUAGUUAAAUAA
rnacentral:lncRNA from 13 species